AGUGAACGCUGGCGGUAGGCCUAACACAUGCAAGUCGAACGGCAGCACAGUAAGAGUUUGCUCUUACGGGUGGCGAGUGGCGGACGGGUGAGGAAUACAUCGGAAUCUACUUUUUCGUGGGGGAUAACGUAGGGAAACUUACGCUAAUCCCGCAUACGACCUACGGGUGAAAGCAGGGGAUCUUAGGACCUUGCGCGAUUGAAUGAGCCGAUGUCGGAUUAGCUAGUUGGCGGGGUAAAGGCCCACCAAGGCGCCGAUCCGUAGCUGGUCUGAGAGGAUGAUCAGCCACACUGGAACUGAGACACGGUCCAGACUCCUACGGGAGGCAGCAGUGGGGAAUAUUGGACAAUGGGCGCAAGCCUGAUCCAGCCAUACCGCGUGUGUGAAGAAGGCCUUCGGGUUGUAAAGCACUUUUGUUGGGAAAGAAAAGCAGCAGGUUAAUACCCCGCUGUUCUGACGGUACCUAAAGAAUAAGCACCGGCUAACUUCGUG
rnacentral:rRNA from 1 species